GAAAACUUGGAAACUACCGUUGGAUCGAGAAAUGAACGUUCGAGAUUCGUCCACGUCACCCUGAGUUAAAAUUUAACUAGUAGAUUCACUCAUGAGUUAAAAUUUUACUAGGAGUUAAAUUUUAACUCAUGGUGACGUGAACAAAUCUCGGACGUCCAUUUCUCGAUUCAACUUUCAUGUUUCC
rnacentral:pre_miRNA from 1 species